rnacentral:rRNA from 1 species
UACGAAGGGGGCUAGCGUUGUUCGGAAUUACUGGGCGUAAAGGGCGCGUAGGCGGUUUUGUCAGUCGGAAGUGAAAGCCCCGGGCUCAACCUGGGAACUGCUUUCGAUACUGCAAGACUUGAGUUCCGGAGAGGAUGGUGGAAUUCCCAGUGUAGAGGUGAAAUUCGUAGAUAUUGGGAAGAACACCGGUGGCGAAGGCGGCCAUCUGGACGGACACUGACGCUGAGGCGCGAAAGCGUGGGGAGCAAACAGGAUUAGAUACCCUUGUAGU